UUCGAAUCAAAGACAAAGAAGACACAGAAAUGGCUUUGCCCAAGGCCCAGGAAACCGUUUCCUCCAAUUCCGUCGUCGUUUUCAGGUCUUCCUCUUUCCGAUACUGGCGGCUGUGCUAUUGUUACAUAAUUUUGGUUUGAUUUUGAUUCUUACAUCGAUAUUUAUAUUAAUUGCAGCAAAACGCUUUGUCCGUUCUGCGUGAGUGUCAAAGAGCUGUUUCAGCAACUCGGAGUCACUUUCAAGGCCAUUGAACUGGACAAAGAAAGUUAGUCCUCUUUUUUUUCGCCUUUGCAUUUUUGGGAUUCUAUUUUGUCUCUGAAUUUGCGUCAAAACAUUUCCUAAUUUAUUCAAUAUAUCAUUUUUUACAUUGAUUGGAUUCGACUGAGAUUAUGCUUCAUUUUUUUUUCUUUCCUUUGCCGAUGUUUACUGCUCCUGACACUUGGUGCCGCGCUUCUGUUUAUUCUUAUUGAAGUUGGUGGGAGUUAUGGAAGUAGUUAGCACAGAUAUGGUUUUGUAAGUAGGUAGAAUUUUAACAACUGAUGUUGGAGCUUGUAUUUAGUCAAUAAACCAAAGAGUCUAAUGAAUCUGAUGUGGUGGCUUAGUGUUGUUUUUACGGGUCAGGAUUUGGUGCUCGGCUGAGUUUGUGUUGAGCACCGAAUCAAAUGAUCAGGAUUCCUUCGACAUGGGUCUCAUUUAGGUCUUUAAUCUACUCUGACCUUUGAUUCAGUCUCAGCUGAGCACCAAAUCCUGGGCCUGUUCUUCAGUGGUUAUUCGGGGAAAGAGAGAGAGUAAAAGAAAAAAAAAAAGAACGUAACUAGGUCUUUAAACCUCUGUGUGUUCUUGAUCUUGAAUAGAAUUAUUAUUUUUAUAGAAUGAAAGCUUCGGAUUUUGUCUUAUAUCCUAUUCACAAUUGAAGUAGAAGUAAAGAAGACAGAUCAGUAACUUGCAUUUUUUUUUUCUGGUAAUUUAUAGGUGAUGGAAGUGACAUUCAAUCAGCUCUAGCUGAGUGGACUGGACAGAAAACUGUUCCAAAUGUCUUCAUCGGAGGGAAACACAUUGGUGGCUGCGAUUCAACUACUGCACUGCACAGGGAAGGGAAGCUGGUUCCUCUGCUCACUGAAGCUGGAGCUGUUGCCAAGACAGCUGCCUAAGGGAUGGCUAUUCUCUGCCUG
rnacentral:lncRNA from 1 species